rnacentral:lncRNA from 1 species
CAUCAUGGUGUCAUGGCGGACAAAAUGGCGGACAUCAUGGCGGACAUCAUGGUGUCAUGGCAGACAUCAUGGUGUCAUGGCGGACAAAAUGGCGGGCAACAUGGUGGACAACAGGGUGUCAAGAUGGCGGACAUCAUCAUGGCGGACAACAUGGCGGACAUCAUGGUGUCAUGGCUGCCAUCAUCAUGGCUGCUAUCAGUAUGGUGACCAAUAUGGCUGCCAUCAUCAUGGCGGCCAUCAUCAUGCCUCUGCCGCACCGACAGCUGCCGCGGGACCCUCAACUGAGGGCAACAUGGCCGACAACGUGGCGGACAUCAUGGCGGACAACAUGGUGUCAAGAUGGCAGACAACGGGGUGUCAAGAUGGCGGACAACAUGGCGGACAACAUGGCGGACAACAUGGUGUCAUGGCAGACAACAUGGCGGACAUCAUCAUGGCGGCCAUGACACCUUGUCGGCCAUGACACCUCAAUGGCGGCCAUGACACCUUGUCAGCCAUGACACCCCAUUGGCAGCCAUGACACCUCAAUGGCGGCCAUGACACCCCAUUGGCGGCCAUGACACCUUGUCGGCCAUGACACCUCAAUGGCGGCCAUGACACCUCAAUGGCGGCCAUGACACCCCAAUGGCGGCCAUGACACCUCGAUGGCGGCCAUGACACCCCAUUGUCGGCCAUGACACCCCAUUGGCGGCCAUGACACCUCAAUGUCGGCCAUGACACCUCGAUGGCGGCCAUGACACCCCAUUGUCGGCCAUGACACCCCAAUGGCGGCCAUGACACCCCACUGGCGGCCAUGACACCUCAAUGGCGGCCAUGACACCCCAUUGUCGGCCAUGACACCCCAAUGGCGGCCAUGACACCUCAAUGGCGGCCAUGACACUUCAAUGGCGGCCAUGACACCUCAAUGGCGGCCAUGACACCUUGUCAGCCAUGACACCCCAUUGGCGGCCAUGACACCUCAAUGGCGGCCAUGACGCCUUGGCGGCCAUGACACCUCAAUGGCGGCCAUGACACCUUGUCGGCCAUGACACCUUGUCAGCCAUGACACCCCACUGUCGGCCAUGACACCCCAUUGGCGGCCAUGACACCUCAAUGGUGGCCAUGACACCCCAAUGGCGGCCAUGACACCUCAAUGGCAGCCAUGACACUUCAAUGGCGGCCAUGACACCCCAUUGGUGACCAUGACACCUCAAUGGUGGCCAUGACACCCCACUGUCGGCCAUGACACCUCAAUGGCAGCCAUGACACCUCCCUGUUGCCCCCCCCCGCCCCCAUUUUUGGCUGUUUCUUGUAGAAACACGGGCCAUUGUGGGGCUGUACAUGCUGUACAAUGCACCCCCCCAUUGUACAGACCCCCCCACCCUAAAUCCCCCCAUACCCCCCCCAUAUUGUAAAUGCCCCCUGUACAUAUGUUU